rnacentral:rRNA from 1 species
GACGAACGCUGGCGGCGUGCUUAACACAUGCAAGUCGAACGGUGAAGCGCCUUCCUUUUUGGUGGGUGUGGAUGAGUGGCGAACGGGUGAGUAACACGUGAGUAACCUGCCCCCUUCUUCUGGAUAACCGCAUGAAAGUGUGGCUAAUACGGGAUAUUCUGGGUCUGUCGCAUGAUGGGUCUGGGAAAGAUAUUGUUUCGGUGGGGGAUGGGCUCGCGGCCUAUCAGCUUGUUGGGGGGGUGAUGGCCUACCAAGGCGGUGACGGGUAGCCGGCCUGAGAGGGUGGACGGUCACACUGGGACUGAGACACGGCCCAGCCUCCUACGGGAGGCAGAAGUGGGGAAUAUUGCACAAUGGGCGCAAGCCUGAUGCAGCGACGCCGCGUGAGGGAUGGAGGCCUUCGGGUUGUGAACCUCUUUCGCUAGUGAAGCAGGCCUGCCUCGUUUGUGGGUGGGUUGACGGUAGCUGGAGAAGAAGCGCCGGCUAACUACGUG